UACGGAGGGGGUUAGCGUUGUUCGGAAUGACUGGGCGUAAAGCGCGCGUAGGCGGGCUGGAAAGUUGGGGGUGAAAUCCCGGGGCUCAACCCCGGAAUGGCCUUCAAGACUCCCAGCCUAGAGUUCGAGAGAGGUGAGUGGAAUUCCGAGUGUAGAGGUGAAAUUCGUAGAUAUUCGGAGGAACACCAGUGGCGAAGGCGGCUCACUGGCUCGACACUGACGCUGAGGUGCGAAAGCGUGGGAGCAAACAGG
rnacentral:rRNA from 1 species